CACGUAGGGUGCGAGCGUUGUCCGGAAUUAUUGGGCGUAAAGAGCUCGUAGGUGGUUCGGUAAGUCGGAUGUGAAAUCUCCAGGCUCAACCUGGAGGGGUCAUUCGAUACUGCCGUGACUAGAGUUCGGUAGGGGAGUGUGGAAUUCCUGGUGGAGCGGUGAAAUGCGCAGAUAUCAGGAGGAACACCCGUAGCGAAGGCGGCACUCUGGGCCGAUACUGACACUGAGGAGCGAAAGCGUGGGGAGCGAACAGG
rnacentral:rRNA from 1 species